rnacentral:lncRNA from 1 species
AAAAAAAACAAAAAAACAAAAAAAAAAAAAACAAAGAAAGAACGAAAGAAAAAAGACGCAUGCAGUAGCUAGCUAGUACUGAAUACAUUCAAACAAAAGCAUAUAGAACAGGACGGACAUCACGUUGCACGCAGCGAGUAAGAACAUAACGUGGGACAUGCAUGAAAAUAAAAUAGAGACUUGCAUGCAUGAUAAAAUGCCUAUGUGCUGCUAGGCUCGGACAUCCCGCGGCGGACCUUCUCAAUAUACUCCUUGGCCUUCCUAUCUACGUCGGGCUUGGCGUACCAGUAAUCGUUGUCGUCAUUGCUCGGCCGCACCUUCCUCUCAUAUUUGCUGUGUUCGGGCUCGGCCUCUUCUUCCACGUACCUCGCCUUCUUGAAUCCAAAUAAGGAAAGCAGAGGCUUCUUUCCUUUACCCAUUAUCGAUCGAUCGAUCGAUCGAUCGAUCUACUCCUUAAUUAAUUUGCUGUAACCACAACGAUUACUAGCUCUCUCUCUCUCUCUCUCUGUCUCUAUGUCUACACUAGCUAGAUGUUGUAUUAAUUGUUUUGCC